rnacentral:rRNA from 1 species
GAGUUUGAUCCUGGCUCAGGAUGAACGUUGGCGGCGUGCCUAACACAUGCAAGUCGAACGAUCCUUCGGGAUAGUGGCGCACGGGUGAGUAACACGUAGCUUACCUCCCUCCAAGCGCGGGAUAACGUUCCGAAAGGAAUGCUAAUACCGCAUAAGCUCCCGGUUUCUAGAGAACUGAGAGAAAAGGGGUAACUCGCUUGGAGACGGGGCUGCGGCCCAUCAGCUAGUUGGUGCGGUAACGGCGCACCAAGGCGACGACGGGUAGGGGACCUGAGAGGGUGACCCCCCACACUGGGACUGAGACACGGCCCAGACUCCUACGGGAGGCAGCAGUGAGGAAUAUUGCUCAAUGGGCGCAAGCCUGAAGCAGCGACGCCGCGUGGGUGAAGAAGGUCUUCGGAUCGUAAAGCCCUUUUCUGCGUGACGAGGAAGGACGGUAGCGCAGGAAUAAGUCUCGGCUAACUACGUGCCAGCAGCCGCCGCAGU